rnacentral:lncRNA from 1 species
GGUAAUAUCUCAUGUCUGUGAUUACAAAUUAAUCAUAUAAUCACUUGUAAUUAACUACCAUCAGUUCUCUAAGCCAACAAUCCACUUAUCUGAUGAAUUUUCCGUGAAAUAGCAGAAUACUGUCUCUAUUUUCUCCAUUGUGGUUUAUAACUAUCUAAAAUUUACCUGGUUAGUCCACAAGUCCUAGCUCAACUGGCAAAAAUAUGGCGAAAUUGUUAGGCCGGACGCCAUGAUCGGGGUUUGAACCCCGACACCACCACUUGUGUGUGUUAGUUAAUAAUGGUUUUGCCAUUUCAUCUACCUACCCAAAAAAAAAGUACUCAGUUAUACACUAGGAUAGAGUUUGAAGCAUAUUACAAAAUAUUUAAAGUACAAAAAAUUUGAAUAUAUAGUUUGAGUUGAUACAUUUACUAACCAACAGUACAUUGCCAGGAAUACAAUCACCACCCCGAGAUUACGGUAUUCCAUUAAGUGGUUCAAAUAAGGUAUUUGAAACAAUUGGGGCGUCUGCUAACCUAGUGUUUGCAUACAAUACCGGCAUGCUUCCUGAGAUACAGGUUAGAUAGAAGCUUAUAAAUUUUCAUAUCUUCUUAUUAAGUUUCAAGUUGAUACUAAUUUGUUUUCAUUUCGGUGAGCGUAAUACAAAACUGAGUUUUAUUUGUUAAUGUACCUUGCAGGCAACAAUAAAGCAGCCAGUUGUCAAGAACAUGAUGAAAUCCCUGUACUUUCAGUUUACAGUCGGAGUUGUACCAUUGUACAUGAUUAC